ensembl:lncRNA
AGGCACUGAAAGGCCUCUCUGCAGUUUUAGGCAGUACCUUCCAUCUGUCUAUAUUAUGUCAGGAGCCAUUUUUUGAAAUGCUUAAUAUUGGAAAGAUUUUAAAAUAUGUCUAUCUCUGCUCCAGGGAUGCCAGCUGUAUGUUGAGCCUUUUAAUAUUUAGCCAAUAAGACUAUGUAAUUAAAUGCCAGCAAAAUUGCCUAAGGAUCAUAAAAUUUGGUCUUGUUUUUUUUAAUUUUUUUCAAGUAUGCUGUGUGAUUGAAAUGAGCUUUUUUUUUCACGUGGAAAUAAAUUUGUGUUCUUAUGAGUAGUGUGUAAUCUAUUUGAUCUGAUAGUCAUUACUAAUAAGUUUGGAUUACAAAUAAGUUUGGAUAAGGGUAAAGAAUCUAUGAAUCUGGAUAACUGAAACAUAGAAGUGCCCACUGAAAUUAUAGGACUUCCUAGUACAAAGAUUUUCGCUUAAAUGGUUUUUCUUAGAUGGUCACACUAUGGUGACAUUUCUUGGUAAAUGAGAAUUUCUCUGAUAGAAACAAGAGAAAAAGUAGAGAAGUUGAGAGAAAAGCAUUUGAGUACAUGGUGGGAAAAAAACACUGUGAAUGUAGCUUUUUGAAAAACUUAGAGAAAGGUAUUUUGGGCUAAAUGCUGGCUAGAAGUAGCCUUGACCCAAUCGGCAAAUAAGCAAUAUCUCCUGCUGUUUGAUUUCUGUUGCAUUCAGGGGAACCAGACUUUGUGCAUUCUUUGUAAAUAAGCAGGAUGACACUGAAGAAACACCUGACCUGAGCUUCAUCUCCCACCUGAAAUAGCCCUUGGGCUAACCUCUUAGGUCAAAAUGAAUCCUUUCAAUAUUACUUAAAAUGUGCUUGAUUUCAGAAAGGCUUUCAUAGAAUCGUGGAAUGGCUUGGAUUGGAAGGAACCCAAAGGAUCAUCCAGUUCCAAACCCCUUGUCAUAGGCCAGACCACUGACCUUCAGAUCUUGUACUAGAACAGCUGGACUUCUAACAGUAUAGAUGUACCAUACAGAAAGUUGCACGUGGACUUCAAAACUCACAUUGUUCUAAAUGUCAUGAGAAUUUCACGAGAAAUGAAAAAAAAACAGCAAUGAGCGGAGUCAUUGCAAAGGUAUUUAGACACUGUGCACAAGGCAAGAGGCCAUCUUACUACCUUUAGGAGAGUUUGAAGAUUUGGUUGUGUCUUGGCCAGUGCCAAGAAAAAAAGUGCAAUAAAAGGAUUGUGUUUAAAUCUGCAGAAACUGAGAUCCAGCCCAAAGCAAGACAGCGUGAAAAUAAGGAGCUGUGGAUCAAGCGGCUCACUGAGUGAGCUCGCCUGCCUGUUAGUCUUCACUGAAUGAAAACUGCUCACCUCACUGUGAAAGAUGCAGCACAAAGGCUUGAUGUAGACUUGGUUCCCUCAGUGUGACCUGUAUUACCUGAGCAGAAGGAUGUCUCAUUUCUGGAUUCUGAUCAUGCUUAGGACUCUGAGGAUAAAGGGAAGAAAAAGGAAACUAGAACAUAUUGGAGAACUAAGUAUGUAGCUGCCUGGUAGAGUGGAUAAAGGGAAGAAAAAGGAAAAAAGAACAUAUUGGGGAAUUGUACGGCCUGAAUCUCUGAUUGAUAAGCUGGGUUCCAGGUACUUGUCCGGAAGAGAAGAAGAACUACGUUCCCCAGAAGACUGUUCGAGUACUGUUAUCAUUCCUGCUCAGGGAAACAGAUAUAAGGCCUGUAGGUCACCUGACCUGGGUCUUCUUCUCGUCUUGUGCUCGCUUUCGGAUCUUCUCGCUGCUGCUCCCGACUGCACGCAAGGCUUCAGUAUUAGUGAGCAGGAAGAAUGAAAAGCAAGAUGACACGUAAUCCAUCUAGGGAGGAAUUCUUUUUUACAUUUUGUUCAAUGAAGACAAAGUUGGUUUCUGCUAAUGAGGGAUGUGUGGCAUAGACG